AACGAACGCUGGCGGCAUGCCUAACACAUGCAAGUCGAACGAGACCUUCGGGUCUAGUGGCGCACGGGUGCGUAACGCGUGGGAACCUGCCCUUAGGUUCGGAAUAACUCCCCGAAAGGGGUGCUAAUACCGGAUAAUGUCUUCGGACCAAAGAUUUAUCGCCUUUGGUUGGGCCCGCGUUGGAUUAGCUAGUUGGUAGGGUAAAAGCCUACUAAGGCGACGAUCCAUAGCUGGUCUGAGAGGAUGAUCAGCCACACUGGGACUGAGACACGGCCCAGACUCCUACGGGAGGCAGCAGUGGGGAAUAUUGGAAAAUGGGCGAAAGCCUGAUCCAGCAAUGCCGGGUGAGUGAUGAAGGCCUUAGGGUUGUAAAGCGCUUUUACCCGGGAUGAUAAUGACAGUACCGGGAGAAUAAGCUCCGGCUAACUCCGUG
rnacentral:rRNA from 1 species